AUGUUGAUGCAAGACUACUUCGUAGAGAAUCCAACAUAUCCACCGCACCUCUUCCGGAGAAGGUACAGAAUGCGCCGAUCUGUCUUUGUGAAAAUUGUUCAAGCUUGCGAGGCAAAUUGUCGGUACUUUACUCAAAGAAAAAAUGCUGCGAGUUUGAAGGGAUUUAGUGCAUAACAAAAAAUCUCGGCAGCUAUGCGGGUGAUUGCAUACGGCGUUCCGGCUGACUAUGCCGAUGAGUACCUUCGCAUUAGUGAAGAUACCACAAUUGAGUCAGUGCGUAGGUUUGCCAAAGUGAUCAUCCGUGUCUUUGGUCCUGAAUAUCUUCGGGCACCCAACGAGGUUGGCCUGGCAUGCUGGGUAGCAUUGACUGUAUGCAUUGGAAUUGGAAAAUUUCCCGAAGGCAUGGCAGGGAAUGUAUUGUGGCAAGUCUCGUGA
rnacentral:rRNA from 1 species